rnacentral:rRNA from 1 species
GGACACGACCGGCGCACGGGUGCGUAACGCGUAUGCAACCUACCUCUAACAGGGGGAUAGCCCCGAGAAAUCGGGAUUAAUACCUCAUAACAUUAUGUUAUCGCAUGGUAACAUAAUUAAAGCUCCGGCGGUUAGAGAUGGGCAUGCGUGACAUUAGCUGGUUGGUGAGGUAACGGCUCACCAAGGCGACGAUGUCUAGGGGUUCUGAGAGGAUGAUCCCCCACACUGGUACUGAGACACGGACCAGACUCCUACGGGAGGCAGCAGUAAGGAAUAUUGCGCAAUGGAGGCAACUCUGACGCAGCCAUGCCGCGUGCAGGAAGACGGCCUUAUGGGUUGUAAACUGCUUUUAUUUGGGAAUAACUCCCUGUUUGCGAACGGGGCUGAAGGUACCAAAUGAAUAAGCACCGGCUAACUCCGUGCCAGCAGCCGCGGUAAUACGGAGGGUGCAAGCGUUAUCCGGAUUCAUUGGGUUUAAAGGGUGCGCAGGCGGAUUAUUAAGUCAGUGGUGAAAUCCCGGGGC